UACGUAGGGUGCGAGCGUUGUCCGGAAUUAUUGGGCGUAAAGAGCUCGUAGGUGGUUUGUCGCGUUGUCCGUGAAAACUCACAACUCAAUUGUGGGCGUGCGGGCGAUACGGGCAGACUGGAGUACUGCAGGGGAGACUGGAAUUCCUGGUGUAGCGGUGGAAUGCGCAGAUAUCAGGAGGAACACCGGUGGCGAAGGCGGGUCUCUGGGCAGUAACUGACGCUGAGGAGCGAAAGUGUGGGGAGCGAACAGG
rnacentral:rRNA from 1 species